rnacentral:rRNA from 1 species
CCUACGGGAGGCAGCAGUGAGGAAUAUUGGUCAAUGGACGAGAGUCUGAACCAGCCAAGUAGCGUGAAGGAUGACUGCCCUAUGGGUUGUAGACUUCUUUUAUAUGGGAAUAAAAUGUUCCACGUGUGGGGUCUUGUAUGUACCAUAUGAAUAAGGAUCGGCUAACUCCGUGCCAGCAGCCGCGGUAAUACGGAGGAUCCGAGCGUUAUCCGGAUUUAUUGGGUUUAAAGGGUGCGUAGGGGGAGUGUUAAGUCAGUUGUGAAAGUGUGCGGCUCAACCGUACAAUUGCAGUUGAAACUGGGAGUCUUGAGUACAGUAGAGGUAGGCGGAAUUCGUGGUGUAGCGGUGAAAUGCUUAGAUAUCACGAAGAACUCCGAUUGCGAAGGCAGCUGACUGGACUGCAACUGACACUGAGGCUCGAAAGUGUGGGUAUCAAACAGGAUUAGAUACCCGAGUAGUC